GAUGAACGCUGGCGGCGUACCUAAUACAUGCAAGUCGAGCGAACAGACGAGGAGCUUGCUCCUCUGACGUUAGCGGCGGACGGGUGAGUAACACGUGGAUAACCUACCUAUAAGACUGGGAUAACUUCGGGAAACCGGAGCUAAUACCGGAUAAUAUAUUGAACCGCAUGGUUCAAUAGUGAAAGACGGUUUUGCUGUCACUUAUAGAUGGAUCCGCGCCGCAUUAGCUAGUUGGUAAGGUAACGGCUUACCAAGGCGACGAUGCGUAGCCGACCUGAGAGGGUGAUCGGCCACACUGGAACUGAGACACGGUCCAGACUCCUACGGGAGGCAGCAGUAGGGAAUCUUCCGCAAUGGGCGAAAGCCUGACGGAGCAACGCCGCGUGAGUGAUGAAGGUCUUCGAAUCGUAAAACUCUGUUAUUAGGGAAGAACAAAUGUGUAAGUAACUAUGCACGUCUUGACGGUACCUAAUCAGAAAGCCACGGCUAACUACGUG
rnacentral:rRNA from 1 species